UUCCAAAAAAGAAAACAGCUAAUUAUUUUGGGCUAGGCGUCACCGACACUGACACAGGACACGGGACACGACACAUCUUGAACACGGCGACUUGAUAGCUUUCAAAAAAUUAGGACACGGAUACCGUAUGGACACCGCUAAUAAAAUAUAAUAUUAUUAAUAUAAUAAUAUAUAUUUAAUAUAUAUAAAAUAUUACCUUUAGUAAAAUAUUGUUAUAUUUCUUAUACGGAUAAAAGUUAGUAAAACUUUUAUUGAUAAUUCAUAUAUAUAUUUUUUUUAAAAUUCAGCACCAUACAUAAUUUAUUUAUUUUGUUAAAAAAAAUUUUGUGUGCAUUUAUUAAAAAGCUAAAAUAUUUAUCAUCUUACAUUUAUGAUGCAUAAAAAAAUAAAAUAAAAAUAUGUAAUUGUUUGUGCUAUGAAUCGGCAUUAAACGUGCAUCUAAGGAGUGUCCACCUCAAACACGUGUCUGACACGGACACGCGAUUGUCCGAGGGAUACGCGAGGCUGAUAGAAGUGUGUGUGAUGCUUAGAUUUUGGAUAAAAAUUUCUAAGCAAAUAUAUUUUAGAGAGAGGAGCACAGAUUAAGUUAAAAAAAAAAAAAACCAACAUGCAUUUAUAUAUAUUGUAGUAAUUGAAUAAACAGAGUAUCAACAAAUUAAUCAACAUGAGAAGGUUGGUAUAGAGGCUUUUAUUGAUUACCUCAAAAUUCAAGGCUUUAUGAUUUUUUUCAAAGUUUAGAUUAUUAUAUACAAAUGGACAGGAAUUUGCAUGGCUAUUUAAUUUGUGGAGAACAAUCAAUGUUUAUAACUUAUGAUUUCUGAUAUGUUGGUAUUUAAAAAUACGUUCUCGAACGCAUCCAAUAUCACGGAUUUUAAGAAAAUUAAAAUGAGCGAGGAGGGGAUCAGAAGAUAUAAAAUGGUUAUAUUAAUAUGAGAAAAAUUGACUUAUGUCAAGACAUGUGAAUGUUUAG
rnacentral:lncRNA from 1 species